CCUACGGGAGGCUGCAGUGGGGAAUAUUGGACAAUGGGGGGAACCCUGAUCCAGCCAUGCCGCGUGUGUGAAGAAGGCCCUCGGGUUGUAAAGCACUUUCAGUGAGGAAGAACGCCUGGUGGUUAAUACCCAUCAGGAAAGACAUCACUCACAGAAGAAGCACCGGCUAACUCCGUGCCAGCAGCCGCGGUAAUACGGAGGGUGCGAGCGUUAAUCGGAAUUACUGGGCGUAAAGCGCGCGUAGGUGGCUUGAUAAGCCGGUUGUGAAAGCCCCGGGCUCAACCUGGGAACGGCAUCCGGAACUGUCAAGCUAGAGUGCAGGAGAGGAAGGUAGAAUUCCCGGUGUAGCGGUGAAAUGCGUAGAGAUCGGGAGGAAUACCAGUGGCGAAGGCGGCCUUCUGGACUGUCACUGACACUGAGGUGCGAAAGCGUGGGUAGCAAACAGGAUUAGAUACCCGGGUAGUC
rnacentral:rRNA from 1 species